rnacentral:tRNA from 1 species
GACCAGGUGGCCAAGGGGGAUAAGGCAUCUCACUUUGGAUCAGAAGAUUGAGGGUUCUAACCUCUUCGUGGUUA